UACGUAGGGGGCGAGCGUUAUCCGGAUUCAUUGGGCGUAAAGCGCGCGUAGGCGGCCUGUUAGGUCGGGGGUCAAAUACCGGGGCUCAACCCCGGUCCGCCCCCGAUACCGGCAGGCUUGAGUCUGGUAGGGGAAGGCGGAAUUCCCAGUGUAGCGGUGGAAUGCGCAGAUAUUGGGAAGAACACCAGUGGCGAAGGCGGCUCUCUGGUCUGUAACUGACGCUGAGGCUCGAAAGCAUGGGUAGCGAACAGG
rnacentral:rRNA from 1 species